GUCCGAUUUAGCCAUGCUAGUUGCACGAGUUUAGACUCGUGGCGAAAAGCUCAGUAACACGUGGUCAAACUACCCUACGAAGACCCAUAACCUCGGGAAACUGAGGCUAAUAGGUCAUAGGAGAGUCACGCUGGAAUGCCGACUCUCUCAAACGCUCAGGCGUCGUAGGAUGUGGCUGCGGCCGAUUAGGUAGACGGUGGGGUAACGGCCCACCGUGCCGAUAAUCGGUACGGGUUGUGAGAGCAAGAGCCCGGAGACGGAAUCUGAGACAAGAUUCCGGGCCCUACGGGGCGCAGCAGGCGCGAAACCUUUACACUGCACGCAAGUGCGAUAAGGGGACCCCAAGUGCGAGGGCAUAUAGUCCUCGCUUUUUCCGACCGUAAGGUGGUCGGCGAAUAAGGGCUGGGCAAGACCGGUGCCAGCCGCCGCGGUAAUACCGGCAGCCCAAGUGAUGACCGAUAUUAUUGGGCCUAAAGCGUCCGUAGCCGGCCAUGAAGGUUCAUCGGGAAAUCCGCCAGCUCAACUGGCGGGCGUCCGGUGAAAACCACAUGGCUUGGGACCGGAGGGCUCGAGGGGUACGUCCGGGGUAGGAGUGAAAUCCCGUAAUCCUGGACGGACCACCGAUGGCGAAAGCACCUCGAGAAGACGGAUCC
rnacentral:rRNA from 1 species